rfam:Lepisosteus oculatus linkage group LG5, whole genome shotgun sequence.
GCCAGCAGCCAUAUGACCCUGCAACUCAGAACUGGCAACCCACUGAAGCUAAGCAAGUGUGAGCCUGGUCAGUACCUGAAUGGGAGACCUCCUGGAAAACACUAAGGUUGCUGCUGGAA